rnacentral:other from 1 species
AUUUAAAUACAUCUCAUGUCAAUGUUUAAC